rnacentral:rRNA from 1 species
GGGGGGGAUACAUAGGGCCUACGGUUGUAACUUCUUUACCGGGAAAGAACUCGGUUAGAGACAUAAAAUUCUUCCGAAUGACCUUAACCCGCAAAAAAUAUACCGCGUUAAUUCCAUUCCUACCUUCCUCGAAUAUAUUGAUGGUGCAAGCUUUAUCAGACUUACAGCGUCGUACACCUCACGACAGGCGGUUUGAUCACUCAGAUGUAAAAUUCCCCUCGCAUCAAUCCUGGUAACUUGCAUUCGAAAACUGGCCUAGGCUAGCACUCUUGGUAGAAGGCGUAAAAAUUCUUCAGCAGAAGCACUGUAAAUGCCUAACACAUCUUGGACCGAAUACCGCUAUGGCGUAAUGGCGGCCCUCCUGGACAAACCACUGAUCGACUCAAGUAGUCGAUAACCCUGGCGCACACAAAGGAUUUAGAAAACCCUCGGUUAGUCCACCCCUGUAAAACGAUAGUCCAAAUAGAGGUAUGAC